UGGGCCAAGUACUGUGAGAAGGUGCAUCACGAAGCCAUUUUAAAAGGCUACGCGAGUUACGUGGCGAUGUUGCUGAACGACAUGAGUAGGCUGACGCCCGAUCGGAGAGUCGUGACUUUCGAUGAUCUGAAACUUUCAUCUCAAUUGCUAGUGGCGAAAAUUCUUCAGUGUCCUUUGUUGAGAAAGGGAAC
rnacentral:lncRNA from 1 species